rnacentral:rRNA from 1 species
UAGGGAAUCUUCGGCAAUGGGGGCAACCCUGACCGAGCAACGCCGCGUGAGUGAAGAAGGUUUUCGGAUCGUAAAGCUCUGUUGUAAGAGAAGAACGUGUGUGAGAGUGGAAUGUUCACACAGUGACGGUAACUUACCAGAAAGGGACGGCUAACUACGUGCCAGCAGCCGCGGUAAUACGUAGGUCCCGAGCGUUGUCCGGAUUUAUUGGGCGUAAAGCGAGCGCAGGCGGUUUAAUAAGUCUGAAGUUAAAGGCAGUGGCUUAACCAUUGUUCGCUUUGGAAACUGUUAGCCUUGAGUGCCGAAGGGGAGAGUGGAAUUCCAUGUGUAGCGGUGAAAUGCGUAGAUAUAUGGAGGAACACCGGUGGCGAAAGCGGCUCUCUGGUCUGUAACUGACGCUGAGGCUCGAAAGCGUGGGGAGCAAACAGG